CCUUGUUUUGCACCAUUCAACAAUCCAACAAAUGUAGAUGUGCAAUAUUAGCAUUAAUGCAUUUAAAGUGUAGUGGUGUACAAAAAUAUAUCUUACUGACAAAUGUCAAAUAAAAUAUUUGAAUGUUACAAUAAUACAUACACAUAAGUCAUAAAGAAUAAAGUACAUAUAUUCCGAUUGACAUUAGUAAUUUACUUUGUAAUUACUCUUUUGAAAGUAAUUUUAAUCACUUAAGGAAAGUAAUAAAUGUGUCCUAUGUACAAUACGGAUACAUUAUAUGUACAUUUGAUUCAUUAAUGUCUUGUACUGACUGGUGCAAAAUUUUAGCCAAAUCGGAUAAUGCAAACUCGUACCGGAAAUCGUUUGAAAAGUGUGAAAUUAGAGAGAAAAUUAUUAUCUUUCCCAUAAGGUAUAAAAUAUUAUUACAUUGAACUGAAAAAUUAUAGGCAUAUUAUUUUCACAAAUAUGCAGCAGACCCAGCCCACUUUAUAAUUUCACCACUUUUUCUAAAAGUUCAUAGGUAUUACCCAAAUGCUCACAUGGAUGGUUGUAUAUGUAAAUUUUAAGGAUUCUAGUCUUGUUAUUUUUUCUGCAAUAAUUGAAAAAUAAAAAAGUUGUGCACCGUAUAAAUGUUUGCUUAAAAUUAACACUAUUUAUUAGAUAUUAAAUUUCCUUGGAAUGAUUUGACAUGAGAUUUUACCAGAGAACAACAUAAUCGCAGCACAAAGAUUUGGCCUUUGUCUUGUCCCUGUUAUUGGAGAGGUGCCUUUGGGAUGCACGUGGUGGCUGUGGUUUAAACUCAAAUUUGAGGAGUGAGUGGGGCUAUGAAAAAUCGGUAUGACGGAUGUUGUUCUUUAUUAAUGUGCCGAAUGUUUUUGUACAGGUAUGAUCUGGGUUUACUCUGUUUAUACCAGAUUAACCACAGUGUGCUCUACGUGAGGAAGCACAAAUCCUCAGCACAUUUGAUAAAUUCGUGUUUUGGUAUAAGGAAGACGUGGAAUAAGGCAAACAUGACAGGUGUUCACGCAAUGAACUUUAAUAUAUUUACUAUAAAAAAGUGAGAAUUUGUUGGUCAUGGAGUUAUUUGAAAUACAAAGCUCAAUACAAGAGCAUCAUCCUUCCUCCAUGAUUUCAAAUAGCUGAAACUCUCUAAUUAGCCUAAAACAAAAAUUAAAAUCUCUACUUCUAUCAACUAUUAAUCAACAUAAUUUUAGUAUUAAUUUAAACCGUAAAUAUUAAAUAUAAUUAAAGGUAUUUUCAGACUACAAUACUGAG
rnacentral:lncRNA from 1 species